GAUCAUGGCUCAGGAUGAACGCUAGCUACAGGCUUAACACAUGCAAGUCGAGGGGCAUCAGUUUGGUUUGCUUGCAAACCAAAGCUGGCGACCGGCGCACGGGUGAGUAACACGUAUCCAACCUGCCUCAUACUCGGGGAUAGCCUUUCGAAAGAAAGAUUAAUAUCCGAUAGCAUAUAUUCCCCGCAUGGGUUUUAUAUUAAAGAAAUUCGGUAUGAGAUGGGGAUGCGUCNCUAUUG
rnacentral:rRNA from 1 species